rnacentral:rRNA from 1 species
GACGAACGCUGGCGGCGUGCUUAACACAUGCAAGUCGAACGGAAAGGCCCUGCUUUUGUGGGGUGCUCGAGUGGCGAACGGGUGAGUAACACGUGAGUAACCUGCCCUUGACUUUGGGAUAACUUCAGGCAACUGGGGCUAAUACCGGAUAGGAGCUCCUGCUGCAUGGGGGGGGUUGGAAAGUUUCGGCGGUUGGGGAUGGACUCGCGGCUUAUCAGCUUGUUGGUGGGGUAGUGGCUUACCAAGGCUUUGACGGGUAGCCGGCCUGAGAGGGUGACCGGCCACAUUGGGACUGAGAUACGGCCCAGACUCCUACGGGAGGCAGCAGUGGGGAAUAUUGCACAAUGGGCGGAAGCCUGAUGCAGCAACGCCGCGUGCGGGAUGACGGCCUUCGGGUUGUAAACCGCUUUCGCCUGUGACGAAGCGUGAGUGACGGUAAUGGGUAAAGAAGCACCGGCUAACUACGUG